GGGCGUGGAAAUUUCUCUUAUCGCUCCAUCACACACUACUAGAAAAACACUAAUUCAUAUCAAUUCAUCCGUGCCGGGUAUAAAUUUGCUGGGAUGAAUAAGUCAUUCGUACAUGGUUGUAAACGAGCCAGACAAAUAAUGAACCAUGCUGGUGCAAUUUUGAGCUGGCACGAAUAAUGAUUAUCCUUGCCGAUUCGAAAUUGCACCAUCACAAAUACUCCGAAUAAUGAUUAUCCUUGCCGAUUCG
rnacentral:lncRNA from 1 species